GAGUUUGAUCCUGGCUCAGGAUGAACGCUGGCGGCGUGCUUAACACAUGCAAGUCGAACGAAGCACCUUGAUUUGAUUCUUCGGAUGAAGAUCCUGGUGACUGAGUGGCGGACGGGUGAGUAACGCGUGGGUAACCUGCCUCAUACAGGGGGAUAACAGUUAGAAAUGACUGCUAAUACCGCAUAAGACCACAGCACCGCAUGGUGCAGGGGUAAAAACUCCGGUGGUAUGAGAUGGACCCGCGUCUGAUUAGGUAGUUGGUGGGGUAACGGCCUACCAAGCCGACGAUCAGUAGCCGACCUGAGAGGGUGACCGGCCACAUUGGGACUGAGACACGGCCCAAACUCCUACGGGAGGCAGCAGUGGGGAAUAUUGCACAAUGGGGGAAACCCUGAUGCAGCGACGCCGCGUGGAGGAAGAAGGUUUUCGGAUUGUAAACUCCUGUCGUUAGGGACGAUAAUGACGGUACCUAACAAGAAAGCACCGGCUAACUACGUGCCAGCAGCCGCGGUAAUUC
rnacentral:rRNA from 1 species